rnacentral:rRNA from 1 species
GUUUGAUCCUGGCUCAGAUUGAACGCUGGCGGCAUGCCUUACACAUGCAAGUCGAACGGCAGCACGGGGGUAACCCUGGUGGCGAGUGGCGAACGGGUGAGUAGAGCAUCGGAACGUAUCCUGGAGAGGGGGAUAACGUAGCGAAAGUUACGCUAAUACCGCAUAUUCUCUGAGGAGGAAAGUGGGGGACCGAAAGGCCUCGCGCUUUGGGAGCGGCCGAUGUCGGAUUAGCUAGUUGGUGGGGUAAAGGCCUACCAAGGCGACGAUCCGUAGCGGGUCUGAGAGGAUGAUCCGCCACACUGGGACUGAGACACGGCCCAGACUCCUACGGGAGGCAGCAGUGGGGAAUUUUGGACAAUGGGCGCAAGCCUGAUCCAGCCAUGCCGCGUGAGUGAAGAAGGCCUCGG